rnacentral:rRNA from 1 species
GCACAAGCGGUGGAUGAUGUGGAUUAAUUCGAUGCAACGCGAAAACCUUACCUACCCUUGACAUGUCUGGAACCUUGCUGAGAGGCGAGGGUGCCUUCGGGAGCCAGAACACAGGUGCUGCAUGGCUGUCGUCAGCUCGUGUCGUGAGAUGUUGGGUUAAGUCCCGCAACGAGCGCAACCCUUGUCAUUAGUUGCCAUCAUUUAGUUGGGCACUCUAAUGAGACUGCCGGUGACAAACCGGAGGAAGGUGGGGAUGACGUCAAGUCCUCAUGGCCCUUAUGGGUAGGGCUUCACACGUCAUACAAUGGUCGGUACAGAGGGUUGCCAAGCCGCGAGGUGGAGCCAAUCCCUUAAAGCCGAUCGUAGUCCGGAUCGUAGUCUGCAACUCGACUACGUGAAGUCGGAAUCGCUAGUAAUCGCAGAUCAGCACGCUGCGGUGAAUACGUUCCCGGGCCUU